rnacentral:rRNA from 1 species
CUUUUCGUCCACUACUUUUCUUCCUUCCCGGCGCAAUCCUCAUCUAUUCCCCAUCAUCUCUCUAAACAAGCCCUGAGCACCACAUCCUUCAUUUUUUCAGAUCCCGGUGAUCUACUGCUCCGGCGAGCGGUGGCCGGAGUUACUGCAGGGGUUCUGCUACUCCGGCGAGUGGUGGCCGGAGUUACUACAGGGGUGAGGAGCGGUCGUUGCCUGCUGGGAACUGAGCCACCUGCUGCUGCGAGCGGUGGCCGGAGCUGAGUGGGCUGCAAUCACGACAGUGCUGCAGCGCUCGUCGCCAUGGCCACCCGCAGCUGGGUGCGCUGCUCUCCAAGGUCGGCGCGAAUGGGAGAGAGCCAGGGAGGAAGCUCGCUGCGUCGGCAUGCAGUGAGGUCGGCAAACUGAUGAAGCCUGAAGAAUGAUUGCAUUCGGUUGCAGGAAUACGCAUCCGGGCGAGACGAUUGGGAUGCUCGAUCAUCGCGCCGCCAAAUGUCCGCAUCUGAUCCCCGGUUCUCAUGGACGCAUCAUCUUUUCUUUUCCUUUUCUCCCUUCUUUCUCUGCUAUCUUGCUGCUGUCCUCCAUGCACCCUGAGUCAGAAUAACGCGUCAAUGACAUAUACAUGCCAACAAAAAAUCAUGAGGGAUCCUAUGGAUCGGAUGCCCUACUGUUUCAGUUAGCUGCCGGUUCUUGCUUUGGGAGCGCUUUGAUUGACACAUAUUCUUCUCCUUUGCAUUCAGGCUGGGGUAAAACAUAUAUUCUCCUUUUGCAAAGUUAUGUUCCAAGCACACAUACAUGAUAAUAAAUCUGUAAUCACUAGAGGUGUUACAUGUGUUUCUUUACAUUAGUAUACAAGCAAAGUGCUGGACUUAAGUGGGACCAAACAGCAAAGGUGAGAAGAUUGCAUUCAAACGUGGGCGCCGCAACUGAACUGAGCUUGACCUUUACUCAAUCGAUCUAGAAUGUCCGACCACUAGGUAAGUAUCGUUCGGUCUGAGAAUAAUCAGCCUGAUGUGGAACCCAAUGUACUAGCAAGAAUAGAAGUGAAACUUUUUGCUCAAGUCAAUGUAUUACAGUUCCUUUCUUCUUCUUUUACACCAGAACCGUCCUUUUAGCAAGAAAGUUGGGUAAAAGAAGAGAAAAAUUCGUGACCUCGCGCUUCGGAACGAGCGGGUAGUGACGAUCAAGCUAGGUAGAGUGUGGUCAGCUACUCAGCCAGCUCGGCGUCUGGUGGUGGUGAUAAUGGAGUUGGGGAGCAACCACAUGAAGAUGAUGCAUGCAUGCGUUGGCCCAACUGAAUGGAAGAGGAGAGCUUGGAGGUGACGACGAGGAUGAUUGUCCUUUUGCUGCUUGCGUACUCAAAGGAUGGGGGGAGGAUUAGGUGGGGUGUUAUUAGUGUUGUGUGAUAAGCAAGCGGCGAUCAGAUAGAUACUGUUUCUUCAUCGUUUUGUCUAUGAUUAUCGGCAAUUGCAACUCCGGGAGUAGGCCAACGGUGUACACCUCACGAUUUAUGACCAAACGUUCUCUCACCGGUUUCAGUUCGUACAAAACUGUCGUCAACCUUCGUGACGAGCCUAAUUUUUUUUUUCAUACUGUGCUAAACAAUAUUCAUGCAGCUUCUAAAAAGGUUUGUACUAUUCCAUAUAAAAGUUUGUGACAUUUAAAAAGUAUUCACGUG